rnacentral:lncRNA from 1 species
UUAUGCUAAAAAAGGAUACAUAGAGGUUGGCAGGUUGCAUGCUGUUGUAUUCUUAACAAAUAUUUUAUUAGAAUAAAGAAAAAAGUAUAAAAAGGGUGGUAGGCUAAACCGAAAUCCUCAAUAAAAUCCUCAAUCUACUGUUUUAGGUUUUGGCAGGUUGUUGUUUGUGGAUCGGGUGUUUUCUUUGUUGCACCGCCGUGAAACUUCUGGGCGCCGCCAUGAAGCUCUUGUAGUGGGUUCCUUCAGGUUGUUGUCUCCUUUCCUUCCGACGUAAUUAAUCCUCCUUUGGCGAGCUUUUGUUGGGUCGCGGCAAGGCUCACGGUGGGAGGGAGUGGGCUUCGUGCAGUGGUU